rnacentral:rRNA from 1 species
GAGCACGCCGCGUGAGUGAUGAAGGUUUUCGGAUCGUAAAACUCUGUUGUUAGGGAAGAACAAGUACCGUUCGAAUAGGGCGGUACCUUGACGGUACCUAACCAGAAAGCCACGGCUAACUACGUGCCAGCAGCCGCGGUAAUACGUAGGUGGCAAGCGUUGUCCGGAAUUAUUGGGCGUAAAGCGCGCGCAGGCGGUUUCUUAAGUCUGAUGUGAAAGCCCCCGGCUCAACCGGGGAGGGUCAUUGGAAACUGGGGAACUUGAGUGCAGAAGAGGAGAGUGGAAUUCCACGUGUAGCGGUGAAAUGCGUAGAGAUGUGGAGGAACACCAGUGGCGAAGGCGACUCUCUGGUCUGUAACUGACGCUGAGGCGCGAAAGCGUGGGGAGCGAACAGGAUUAGAUACCCUGGUAGUCCACGCCGUAAACGAUGAGUGCUAAGUGUUAGAGGGUUUCCGCCCUUUAGUGCUGCAGCAAACGCAUUAAGCACUCCGCCUGGGGAGUACGGUCGCAAGACUGAAACUCAAAGGAAUUGACGGGGGCCCGCACAAGCGGUGGAGCAUGUGGUUUAAUUCGAAGCAACGCGAAGAACCUUACCAGGUCUUGACAUCCUCUGACAACCCUAGAGAUAGGGCUUCCCCUUCGGGGGCAGAGUG